UAAACCUUAAUGAAAAUUGAAAAAAAAAGACUUUUUGUAGAUUUUUAAAAUCACAAAUGUAAUUUUUUUCAAACUUGUGUACGUCAUAUGCUUUUUAAUAACACAGCCACGUCUGAACUUCAUUGCUGUCAUGUGGUUUGGCUGGGCAUGUGGUUUUGUUGCAGCCAGCUCUGGUGAAAGUGAAUUUGGAGCUGCUGCAUGUAGUCUAUGGAGCAGGUGUCGUCCUGAAGUGUGCAAGCAUUACCUAAAGUGCAACAGCAAUUGAAGAAUUCUCGAAAUGGUCACAACUUCACCUCUGAUCUAAAUUUUGUCGGGUUAAAGAAUUUUCUGUUGCUUGGAUUCAAUCUAAAUUUCAACUCUAAAUUUGACUUGGUGGCAAUGGUAUGCAUCAGACUGCUGUGCACAGUCUAUAGAUCUGGUGUGUCAUCCUGAAACUUAUAAGCCAGACCUGAAGUGGAAUUGCAAAAAGACUUCUUGAAAUGGUUUAACAGCCAGGUAAAAUCUCUUCUUCAUUGCUGUCUCACAAGUCACAACAUAUGGUUUUUUGGUUUCGGCCAGCCGGGUCAAGACUGCAAGAUGUUGUCUAAUCAGGUUCUGCUGUUGCAUGGAGUCUGUGAUGCCGCUGGUGAUCUGACAAAUAUUGUUGUGCUUGUUUCUGAUAAGUGUGUUGUUUGAAGUAGUCUAUGAUGUAGACAAGUGCAUAUUAUCUUCUUUUCUGGGCUCCCUUCUGUUCUGUGACCCCGUUACCCUUUCCUAUGACUAAUCGCUCCCCAGCAAAUCUGGUCUCGCACUGCUCUCUUCUUUCCUUGUCCAGGUCAUCUCCCUGGGCACAGUCAAUCAAUGCAGUCUCCCCCUGUCUUGAUAGACUGAAUUUUGCAUGGAAAAUUCAACAUUGAUAAUAUUAAGUUAAAGAAGGUAAAAUUGAUAUUUGUGAUAAGGAAUGAUAAACAUGUACAGUACAUAAUAGUAUAAAUAAGAUUUAAACAGCUGCAUUUUCUU